rnacentral:rRNA from 1 species
UAAUACAUGCAAGUCGAGCGAACAGAUGAGAAGCUUGCUUCUCUGAUGUUAGCGGCGGACGGGUGAGUAACACGUGGGUAACCUACCUAUAAGACUGGGAUAACUCCGGGAAACCGGGGCUAAUACCGGAUAAUAUUUUGAACCGCAUGGUUCAAUAGUGAAAGACGGUUUCGGCUGUCACUUAUAGAUGGACCCGCGCCGUAUUAGCUAGUUGGUAAGGUAACGGCUUACCAAGGCGACGAUACGUAGCCGACCUGAGAGGGUGAUCGGCCACACUGGAACUGAGACACGGUCCAGACUCCUACGGGAGGCAGCAGUAGGGAAUCUUCCGCAAUGGGCGAAAGCCUGACGGAGCAACGCCGCGUGAGUGAUG